UAUUCAUUCACUUGUUUUUGUUUACUUUGCUACGGAUUCUUCAUAGAACUCGCCAAAUUACUAUGUUUUUGAACGUUGUUGUCUUGGGAUUGCCCCGUAGAUGUUAGAGUGUAAACUGUAAACAAGUUUAUUGUUAUCUUGAACCAGAGAUUUAAUAAUAAUUAGUGGAAAGGUGAAACUUUGAUUUAAAUUUAAAUAUAAGUAAGUUUUAAACUUAACCGUUAAAUCUGUGACGUAGGUAGGUAAGUUUUCUGUUUCUGUAGAAUAAAGAAAGUCAGCAAAGGCAUUUUGUGAUACCAUAACAAAAAACGUGUAUAAACGAUACGAAGCACUAAGUACAUUACACUUAGUACUUCGCUGUACAUUUAUGAACACAAGAAACAAGAAAAGAUUUAUGUGGCGCUUUCAACAAACGAAAGGCCUGUACCUAGUGAUCCGUAGAAAUUUUAUGACGUGUGAAAACUAGUGAGAGAAAUGUAACCACUGGAAAAACACUAGCUUCUAGUGUUUUAUUGUUUCACUAGAGUAUGUACGUCAAGUAGACGGCCACUGAUAUUUCCCGAAAACUUUUUCUACGUGGGCAUCGUAAAAAAUACAUUUAGUGGUGGCGUGAAACAGAUUAUAAAUGUCGACGGGUUAUUUAUCACGCCAUCCCACCACUCAGCCGAGUACAGUUGUAAAACAAACCUCUACUGACGCCAAGGAAAAAAUAAUCUUCAUUCACGCCGCUAUUUAUAGGAGCCGGCUACAAGUGAUAGCUCGCUCGAUAUUGACCUACUGCACAACCAUGGAUAAAAGAAAGAGACUGGAUUGGCCUUGUGGGCGGGCCACGCGUGCCGAGGGUGCGAGCCGGCGUACUGCGCGCUGUCAUAACGCUCAAAUGUCCAUACUUACCGGCUAGCAAUCGCUGUCAUGUUUUGACAGCGUACGUAUCUCCGCAAAAAUAUUAUAUUAUGCCGUCUUGCGCUAUUAUAACGUGUCGGAAAAGAAACCAGGUGUGUAGCAUAGCACGAGAAGGAAUUUCUUUUCACCGGUUUCCAACAGAUCCAGGUGUAACAAAAUUGUGGAUUGACACAACUGGUAGAAUUAAUUUUUUUUUUUCAAGUUCCACCACACAGAUUAGAAACUGCGUAUAUUUUUAUCUCCACCAUAUUUAUACAGACAUUGGUCAUAAAAACUAAGCUUAUAUAAUAAUUAAUAGUAUAAUAAAUUAUGUAGCAAGUUACACGACCAGGUUUAAAACAAUUGAAAUGACAAGUGGUGGGAUUCAGGAACCCAAACUAGGAAAACCUGUACUAUGGGCUCCUGGAUUCCUACUAAAUGUAGCAUAUUUCGUUCGCAACAUUUCGAUGUUGAUAAUUACAUAAUAACAAAGUCAGGGAAAAGAAACUUAAAAUUAGGCGUUUAUCCGCACAAUAUCGCAAUGUGUAAUUCAGUAAGUAAACUGAUUUUAUUUUAGAAAAUUUUAAAUUAGUCUCUUUAAAUCAGUUUUUUUGUCUAAAAAUGGCGAUAUUUAAAAUAUCAUCUUUCGUAAAUUUAAAAAAUGAAAUAAUAUAACCAUGUUAUUUCAAUGUGUUCUGUACUUUAUACAGAUUAUUGUAAAUGUGAGAGCCCUGUAAUUAGCUAAAUUAGACUAGUAGAAUGCAUUUGUGUCAGCUUAGAGUUGUCAUGCUCACUCAAAGGUCUCACUGGCGGUGGCCCGGGCAUUGGAUCGUUCGAUUCCCUGCAACAUGGUUGAGUUGGGCGGUGCUGGUGUACGUGUCAUGUUGGUGAACGAGCGCUGUCAACUGGGACUGGUCAGCUCCAGACUGUAUUAAUUUUGUUGUUCUUAAGGUUUUUUUCUAUCGCUUUGACUGAAUAUUAGUUUUACAUUGUUCUCACAUAGUUCAAGCAAUCGAUGCAAAGAAAAGCAAUGUUAUCAAGAAUUGUAUUGUGAAUCUAAUUGAAAAAGAUCUAACGAACAGAUCUUCGAUCUUCUCCAUAGGAAUCUACACUUUGGAACGAGCAAAUAGCUUCACUAGAGGGCUGACCGACAGACAGACGUUAUUAAUAUUAUUAUAUUUGCUUUGACGUUCAAAAGUGCCUAUGAUUUAUUUAUUUUUUACUGAUUUUUAACUUAUUGAGUAAUAAAAUUGGUUUUAAAAUUCA